GACAGAGGGUGCGAGCGUUAAUCGGAAUUACUGGGCGUAAAGGGUGUGUAGGCGGUUAAAUAAGUUAGAUGUGAAAGCCCUGGGCUUAACCUAGGAAUAGCAUUUAAUACUGUUUGACUGGAGUGCAGUAGAGGGGAGUGGAAUUUCCGGAGUAGCGGUGAAAUGCGUAGAGAUCGGAAGGAACACCAGUGGCGAAGGCGACACUCUGGACUGUUACUGACGAUGAGACACGAAAGAGUGGGGAGCAAACAGG
rnacentral:rRNA from 1 species